rnacentral:misc_RNA from 1 species
UAAGGACUCAUCGACCCGCAAGGCGCCAUAUGCUGUCUCGCUUGUACAGUAGGAGCACUGUUUACUGAUGACGCUGCCAUUACACACAUGGAGAGAUAACACAGAUAUCGGGUUUUAGCGGAUCCUGGACACGGAGGAUAACACAGAUAUUAGAGUGUAGCGGAUCAUUGAUACUGAAGAUGAAAAAACUCAAAUCAUACCUUUAUGUUACAGUUGUGGUGGUACUGAUCCAGAUAUGGCGAAUCACGUCUGCUGCAGAUCCCCCACCAGAGAUACAGAGCAAUGAGACGUUGUGUUUUUACUGCAAUGAAAGAAAAGUCAAUUUCAACUGGACGUACCAAGUACAAUCAGUAUUCCGAAUCCAGUGGAAGUUUGAGGACAUUUUCAUGGCAAAUAAAACAAAUCGUACUGUUGACCUGACACAGGAGUCCCUCAGUAUCAACCAGAACUACAGGGGCCGUUUUACCCUCCUAACUCCAGGUGAUGUUGGUUUUAGUCUCACCAACUUGAAGAGGGCUGACCUAGGAACCUACAGAUGUAUCGUUACAUUGGACAGCGGAACAGGAAUAACACUGCAAGGAGGUUUAGAAGAGAGACGUACUGAUAGACGGGAGAAAGUGAAGGCGUGCAGUGAUGAAGCUGCCAUCUUUAAGUGGACUCGGACUUGGGAGGAGCCUUUCCAACACGUACAGUGGCAGUUCAAUGAAACAACGAUUGCCAAUACAACCAAAGAAGGAAUCAGUAGGGAUUCACUGCGCAUCACAGCCGAGUACAAGCCUCGCUUCCAUCUGCUACAGGCAGGUGAUGUUGGGUUCCGGCUGGAGACGGUCAGCUCCGCGGACGCCGGAACAUAUGCCUCUGUCAUCACAUUUCCAAGCGGAAAAUUUAACAUUAUAUGGAAUUUGGAAGUGGAAGAAGUACAAAGUGGCAACUUGAGCAUUGUCAUCAACCAGGAGACGCUGUCCUGUGGGGAGGAGAGGAAGUCGGACUUCAGCUGGGUUUUCCUAAAUGUCUCUGGGGUAGAGAACGUGGAUAAGACAGGACACGCCCUACAUCUGCCGUCCGUUCCUACAUCGGGGUGGGUGUAUUGUUUCCGUCAGUCUGACUGUACAACGUCGUCGAUCUACAAUUUCACCAGGGAUGAGUCAGUCAAAGGUGAGGACCUCGAGAACGGAACAAUCAUCAUCCUCAUCACCGUGGUUCUUUCAGUCCUAAUCGUCAUCAUAGUGUCCAGUGUAGUGUUACUAUGGAAGCGUGCACAGCAUCGUGCACACACCAGCAACGAAUUGGAAAAGAAAGAAGCGGACGAGGAGAUGCUUCCGCAAAAAAACGCGGCAGUAGAUCUUAAGUUUAAAUGUCCCUUGAAAAUCAAAUGUUGUGGACAUGUAGCACAGUAGUGAUAUUUUGCAAUUUUGUUCAGUUCAUAUAAACUACAGUUGCAAUUGUUAUAACGUUUAAUGUCCGAAAUGUGAAUACCAUCAGUCACACUGCACUGUACAAAUGCAAUAAUAGUGCUCAAGUACACACACAUCACUGGACACACCUGGCUAUAGUGCUACAGGGAUACACAUGAUGACAGUAUUGGACACUCCUGGAUAUAGUGCUACAGGUACACAUACACACAUGAUGACAGUAU